GAAUGCAUGGACGAGAUGACUACCCUGGAGAAGCAAUUCGGCGACUUGAAAGAACAGCUGUACAAGGAGAGGCUCUGUCAGGUGGAUAUAAAGCUACAGGAGGUCAUAGCAGCCUGUGCCCAAGAGUAUCUGCAACCACUUGCCAACCUACAGGAGAAUAUGCAGAUCAGAACUAAAGUGGGCGGGAUCUACCAAGAGCUGUGUCUUGAGUCUGUGAAGAACAAGUACGACUGUGAGAUCCAGGCUGCCUGCCAACACUGGGAGAGUGAGAAGCUGUUGCUGUUUGACACGGUGCACAGUGACUUAGAGGAGAAGAUCAGACGCCUGGAGGAGGACCGACACAGUAUCGACAUCACCUCAGAACUGUGGAACGAUGGUUUACAUUCACGGAAGAACAAGAAGAAGGAUCCCUUCUGCCCUGUCAAGAAAAAGAAGCCUGUUGUUGUCUCAGGUCCAUAUAUUGUUUACAUGUUGCAAGACAUCGAUGUACUUGAAGACUGGACAGCAAUACGAAAGGCACCACAGGCGGAGCUGACAUUAGGGACGCACAGGGUCAAGGUCGAUGUCCCUACGAAAGCUGACAGACACCAUCAUGUGGCGAGGUCUGAGGAGGGCAGACUGUUCUAUGACAGCCAGUGGUAGUGUAGAGGACAGGCCUCGUGUAUCAGCAAGAAGGACCAACACCCUACCAGUGCCAUAAUAACCACCAUAAACCAUGACGAGGUGUGGUUCAAACGGCUUGACAGCAGCAAGUCCAAACGCUACAUCUCUCAGCUGCAGAAAGGCAAAUACAUCAUCAAACACUCCUAAUGUCCCUCACAGCCUGCCGUACUCUUUCACCCUGGAUAACAGAUGAUGAACUCCACUGCCAUAAAAUGUCCUCUCCUUUAUGUCAGUGGACUUAACCAAGCCUGGUCCUGGAGAGCUACAGGUCAGGAUGUGUAGGGUCAGUGACUGACUAAUGCUCUUUGUAUGUUAAUAUGAUCUGCGAGGCCAACAAGUGUCAUUCCUUCUCUAAACUGGAAAUGAGAUGAGUGAAAUUCUGGUUGUGAGGAGGAGUGGUGUAGUGGGUCUUUAGUGUAUUUUACCCCCCUUUUUCUCCCUAAUUACUAUCUUGUCUCAUCGCUGCAACUCCCUAACGGGCUCGGGAGAGGCGAAGGUGGAGUCCGAAACAUGACUCGCCAAGCCGUGCUCCUUAACACCCUCCAGCUUAACCCGGAAGCCCGCCGCACCAAUGUGUCGGAGGAAACACUGCUCAACUGGCGACCGGGGUCAGCCUGCAGUCACCUGGCCAGCCACAAGGAGUCGCUAGAGCGCGAUGGGCCAAGUAAAGCACCCCCCCCGGGUCAAACCCUCCUCCUAAGCCGGACAACACUGGGCCAAUUGUGCGCCGUCCUAUGGAACUCCCGGUUGUGGCACAGCCCAGGAAUGAACCGCGAUGCAGUGCCUUAGACCGCUGCGUCACUCGGGAGGCCCCGUAGUGUGCCUUUUUUAACAAGAUGAUGCCUACAGUCUUGAACUUACUCCGCUCUUCUGGCCGGUGAGAACAGGACGAGGAUCAAGUCAAGCGGGUCCAUUGGUUGUGACUGGAUGGAAUGCUAAAGCCUGGUCCUAAUGAUGCGUUUCCUUCACUGUGAGACCCCCACCUCUUGUAGUGUUCCAUGUAUAGUCUCAUCUUUCAUGUCUCUGUUACUAUUCUGAUAAGGAUACACCGCUCUCGCUUUUUCUGUCUUCCCUUUCUUCCUGCCCUCAAGGGGACAUGAUACCAUUUACCUAACCAAUGCUGUCAGAUGUGUUAUCAAUUGAAGGAAGGAAGGAAGGAAGGAAGGAAGGAAGGAAGGAAGGAAGGAAGGAAGGAAGGAAGGAAGGAAGGAAGGAAGGAAGGAAGGAAGGAUGGAUGUUAACUAUAUUUUAGCAUGGCCAAGGUCAGUAGAGAUGGGUCAAAAUGUCUGGUUGUUGUACAAUCACGUCCAUGCAAUCCCACUCUUUUGCACAUGAUUGGAUAUUGUGGGAAAGCAUUUGUUUCUGUGUAUAAAGUACCACCUGCCAACAGUUUUGCAUCUUAAGGUUCUCAACAUAUUAUGAAUUGUGUAAUGUUACAUGCUGUAUAUAUUGGGAGCAUCUGCUGUUUUUUUCUCGCAGCCUAUGAAGAAUUCUACUUAUGUCCGUCUGAGUACGAUCAGACCAAAUGUUUCACUGCCAUCAAUUGAACAGUAGUCCUGCUGUCUUGAGUUUUUAUUUGUAAAGUUUGGAUUUUUUUGUGUAUUUUUUUAUUUUUUGGAAAUUAAGGCUCAGUCUACAUUACAUUUUCUUUUCAUGUCAUGCGGGAGGAAAAUUGGAAUAAAAUAUCAUAGUCACAAUUCAUGUACAGCAAAUAAAAUAUUUAAUUUUGUAGUAAA